UACGUAGGGUGCGAGCGUUAAUCGGAAUUACUGGGCGUAAAGCGUGCGCAGGCGGCUUUGUAAGUCAGAUGUGAAAUCCCCGGGCUUAACCUGGGAAUGGCAUUUGGGACUGCAAGGCUUGAGUUUGGCAGAGGAGACUGGAAUUCCUGGUGUAGCAGUGAAAUGCGUAGAUAUCAGGAGGAAUACCGAUGGCGAAGGCGGGUCUCUGGGCUAGAACUGACGCUCAUGCGCGAAAGCGUGGGGAGCAAACAGG
rnacentral:rRNA from 1 species